rnacentral:rRNA from 15 species
CAGUGACAGGUGCUGCAUGGCUGUCGUCAGCUCGUGUCGUGAGAUGUUCGGUUAAGUCCGGCAACGAGCGCAACCCACAUCCUUAGUUGCCAGCAGUUCGGCUGGGCACUCUAGGGAAACUGCCCGUGAUAAGCGGGAGGAAGGUGUGGAUGACGUCAAGUCCUCAUGGCCCUUACGGGUUGGGCUACACACGUGCUACAAUGGCCGGUACAGAGGGAAGCCACCCCGCA